rnacentral:lncRNA from 1 species
GCAUGGAUGCAAUGUGCAUUACCAUUUGGAUGAUUUUCACUUCCACAUUUCAUACACAAAUGCAUGGCCACAUGACAUGAUUUCAGCAUGAUUCUCACUCAUUUUUUGGACCUGAAUAAAUCACUUGAUGGGCCUAUCACACGUCCAUGUAAGCAUGCAAAGAGAAUUACUAAAAUUGGCAAUUUUUGGAAGUGUGUGGAAAUGAA